rnacentral:rRNA from 1 species
UGCCAGCAGUCGCGGUUAAACCAAGAAAUUUAGUCAUUCUUUUAUGGUAAAAAGACAGUUAGGCAGAGAUAGGUGAGAUUAUUAGAUCUUUAGUAAAGGAGUAAAAUCUAAAUACUAAAAGAUAUACCGGACAUAAUUUAUUUAGGAUGUUGAAUCUGUGACAGCUUUAAGGGAAACUGGGAUUGGAUACCCCAUUAUUUUUAGUUAUAAAUUUAGUUUAAGCUUACCGGAGUACUACGAAUAAAAAGUUUAAAACUCAAAGGGCUUGGCGGUGUUUUAGACCUCUCAGGGGAACCUGUCUCGUAAUCGACAAUCCACGUUAAACCUAACCUUUUAUGGUAAAACAGCUUGUAUACCGUCGUCGUCAGGUAACUUCUUAAAAUAUAGUAGUUAGCUUGAGAAUUUAAUUAAUUAAAACGUCAGAUCAAGGUGCAGCUAAUGAAAAGGUGAGGAUGGGUUACAAUUAUAUAUUUAUAAAUACGGAAAAUACUUGAAAUGGAGUAUCUUAAAGGAGGACUUGAAAGUAAUUUUAAUUAUAUAAAUAGAAUGAAUAAGGCUCUGAAACGUGCACACAUCGCCCGCCACUCU